GUGGCUGAUCUAGUUAUCAGCCAGCCCCCUCAGCUUCAUUCCUUUUCAACCUUCAAUCCACCACACCUGCCUGUCCCAAGAGGGAAAAGGUUUUUAGUUGCCAAUGCCUGGAUGUUGUGCCUGAAGUCAGCCAUCCAUAUGAAUAGUAGUCAUUCACCAGCAUCAUGGCACCAAUGUGCUGAAGUGGUUUAAGGGACCAAGCACCAGGCAGUGUAGUGAAUCUAAGAAAGCCCAGAGCAGAUCAGGCAUCAUCAAGCAUGACAUCCAGGAAGCU
rnacentral:lncRNA from 11 species